CUAAAUUCCCUUGUUUCCAGAGGUUUUGUCUAUUAAGUUACUUUUUUAAAUUUUUUUUUUUUUUUUUUUGAGACAGGGUCUCAGUCUGUCACCCAGGCUGGAGUGCAGUGGCACAAUCUCAGUUCACAGCAGCCUCCAUCUCCUGAGCUCGAAUGAUCCUCCCACCGCAACCUCCCAAGUAGCUGGGACUACAGGAAACGCACCUGGGUCAGAGUCACCUAAGAUUGGUCAGCAAACAACAGGGAGAAACGAACGUGGUGAUGGCGUCAGUUCAUGCCUCAAAGACUGCAGAGCUGGGGGAAAGAAGUGAAUGUGCUGGAAUAUUCUGGCAGCUCAGUGGAGGAAGGGCCGAGGCAUUCAGCAAGAGGGAAUUCCGCAAGCCAGACGCAGCGGAGGCGGAGGACGCAAUCCCCGCCAGCUCCUGGGACCCAAGGGCCGGGUCCCUCCCGGGCUUGUGCCCAGCUUGUCCUCUCCCAUCCCUGCCUCUGGCCCGGUAUUUGCUCCCAGCAUCCUCAGCGGCCGGCAGGGAAGGCGUCCCUGGGAGGCCACCGUGGAGUUGUAGUGGACCCAGAGGCAGUGAGGUCUGCGGAGGAGAGCACUCAACAGGUAGGUAGGCGACCUGGGCCCCACCACGCACUGCAGUGUGACCCCAAGCAGCUCACUUCACUCCGAGUCCUGGUUUUAAUAAAACAUAGGACAGCGGGG
rnacentral:lncRNA from 1 species